GGUACCUGAGGAAUAAGCAUCGGCUAACUCCGUGCCAGCAGCCGCGGUAAUACGGAGGAUGCAAGCGUUAUCCGGAAUGAUUGGGCGUAAAGCGUCCGCAGGUGGCUAUGUAAGUCUGCUGUUAAAGAGUGAGGCUCAACCUCAUAAGAGCAGUGGAAACUACAUGGCUAGAGUGCGUUCGGGGCAGAGGGAAUUCCUGGUGUAGCGGUGAAAUGCGUAGAGAUCAGGAAGAACACCGGUGGCGAAAGCGCUCUGCUAGGCCGCAACUGACACUGAGGGACGAAAGCUAGGGGAGCGAAUGGGAUUAGAUACCCCAGUAGUCCUAGCCGUAAACGAUGGAUACUAGGCGUGGCUUGUAUCGACCCGAGCCGUGCCGUAGCUAACGCGUUAAGUAUCCCGCCUGGGGAGUACGCACGCAAGUGUGAAACUCAAAGGAAUUGACGGGGGCCCGCACAAGCGGUGGAGUAUGUGGUUUAAUUCGAUGCAACGCGAAGAACCUUACCAAGACUUGACAUGUCGCGAAUCCUGCUGAAAGGCGGGAGUGCCUUCGGGAGCGCGAACACAGGUGGUGCAUGGCUGUCGUCAGCUCGUGUCGUGAGAUGUUGGGUUAAGUCCCGCAACGAGCGCAACCCUCGUUUUUAGUUGCCAGCAUUAAGUUGGGCACUCUAGAGAGACUGCCGGUGACAAACCGGAGGAAGGUGGGGAUGACGUCAAGUCAGCAUGCCCCUUACGUCUUGGGCUACACACGUACUACAAUGCUACGGACAAAGGGCAGCAAGCUAGCGAUAGCAAGCAAAUCUCAUAAACCGUAGCUCAGUUCAGAUCGAAGGCUGCAACUCGCCUUCGUGAAGGAGGAAUCGCUAGUAAUUGCAGGUCAGCAUACUGCAGUGAAUUCGUUCCCGGGCCUUGUACACACCGCCCGUCACACCAUGGAAGCUGGUAGUGCCCGAAGUCAUUACUCCAACCUUUCGGGGGGGAGGAUGCCGAAGGCAGGACUGGUGACUGGGGUGAAGUCGUAACAAGGUAGCCGUACCGGAAGGUGUGGCUGGAUCACCUCCUUUUAGGGAGACCUAUCCCACUCAAAUAUCGAGGACAUACAGUUAAUAGAUAUUGAGUUGGUCUAUCCUAGGUCGGUCGAGAUUGGUAAAAGCUUUCAAAGUAUUUUGAGUUCGGUUUAAUAAUCAUAAAAGAUACUGGGAAUAGUGUUCAGCAACAUGGCGAUUGCCAGACUGCUGGAGAUUGUCCAGCCAGAACCUUGAAAACUGCAUAGUAACGCGAAAAAAAGCAGGCAGACGAAUCUAAGUGAUGGUUGCUGAGUGGUGAAUGCUGAUUAAGGUCAGUGUGAAUUACAAAGUAAACAGAACUUUGAAUGAAGUUU
rnacentral:misc_RNA from 1 species